rnacentral:ncRNA from 2 species
AGCUGUGACACGGGGUGCCACGCCGCCAAAAGUACGUGCGUGUGCUGAGAAUAUACCCGUUGUACCUGCCUCAGAUAAUGCUGACGAAGGGAUGUCUUUAUCAUGUUGU